rnacentral:rRNA from 1 species
GACGAACGCUGGCGGCGUGCUUAACACAUGCAAGUCGAACGGAAAGGCCCUGCUUUUGUGGGGUGCUCGAGUGGCGAACGGGUGAGUAACACGUGAGUAACCUGCCCUUGACUUUGGGAUAACUUCAGGAAACGGGGGCUAAUACCGGAUAGGAGCUCCUGCUGCAUGGUGGGGGUUGGAAAGUUUCGGCGGUUGGGGAUGGACUCGCGGCUUAUCAGCUUGUUGGUGGGGUAGUGGCUUACCAAGGCUUUGACGGGUAGCCGGCCUGAGAGGGUGACCGGCCCCAUUGGGACUGAGAUACGGCCCAGACUCCUACGGGAGGCAGCAGUGGGGAAUAUUGCACAAUGGGCGGAAGCCUGAUGCAGCAACGCCGCGUGCGGGAUGACGGCCUUCGGGUUGUAAACCGCUUUCGCCUGUGACGAAGCGUGAGUGACGGUAAUGGGUAAAGAAGCACCGGCUAACUACGUG